UACGUAGGGGGCAAGCGUUGUCCGGAUUUAUUGGGCGUAAAGCGCGUGUAGGCGGCCAGGUAGGUCCGUUGUGAAAACUCGAGGCUCAACCUCGAGACGUUCGACGGAAACCAUCUGGCUAGAGUCCGGAAGAGGAGAGUGGAAUUCCUGGUGUAGCGGUGAAAUGCGCAGAUAUCAGGAAGAACACCCGUGGCGAAGGCGGCGUCUCUGGGACGGUACUGACGCUGAGACGCGAAAGCGUGGGGAGCGAACAGG
rnacentral:rRNA from 1 species